rnacentral:rRNA from 1 species
GACGAACGCUGGCGGCGUGCUUAACACAUGCAAGUCGAACGCAGUGGCGAACGGGUGAGUAACGCGUAAUCAACCUGCCAUUCAGCGGGGGACAACAGUUGGAAACGACUGCUAAUACCGCAUACUGAAGGAGGGGCUUGCGUCUGUUUAGCUAGUUGGAGGGGUACCGGCCCCCCAAGGCGCUGAUCAUUAGCCGGUCGGAGAGGAGGAACGGCCACAUUGGGACUGGGACACGGCCCAGACUCCUACGGGAGGCAGCAGUGGGGAAUCUUCCGCAAUGGACGAAAGUCUGACGGAGCAACGCCGCGGGAGUGAUGACGGCCUUCGGGUUGUAAAGCUCUGUUAAUCGGGACGCGGUACCGGAAUAGAAAGCCACGGCUAACUCCGUGCCAGCAGCCGCGGUAAUUC